GACGUAGGGCGCGAGCGUUGUCCGGAUUUAUUGGGCGUAAAGAGCUCGUAGGCGGUUUGUCGCGUCUGCUGUGAAAACUCGGGGCUUAACCCCGGGCCUGCAGUGGGUACGGGCAGACUAGAGUUCGGUAGGGGAGUCUGGAAUUCCUGGUGUAGCGGUGAAAUGCGCAGAUAUCAGGAGGAACACCGGUGGCGAAGGCGGUUCUCUGGGCAUGUCCUGACGCUGAGGAGCGAAAGUGUGGGGAGCGAACAGG
rnacentral:rRNA from 1 species